rnacentral:rRNA from 1 species
CACGUAGGGGGCAAGCGUUGUCCGGAUUUAUUGGGCGUAAAGAGCUCGUAGGCGGUUCGGUAAGUCGGGUGUGAAACCUCCAGGCUCAACCUGGAGACGCCACUCGAUACUGCUGUGACUAGAGUCCGGUAGGGGAGCGUGGAAUUCCUGGUGUAGCGGUGAAAUGCGCAGAUAUCAGGAGGAACACCAGCGGCGAAGGCGGCGCUCUGGGCCGGAACUGACGCUGAGGAGCGAAAGCGUGGGGAGCAAACAGG